GAAAGUUGAAAAGAACUUUGAAGAGAGAGUUCAAGAAGGCGUGAAACCGUUAAGAGGUAAACGGGUGGGGUCCGCGCAGGCACGAGACCGAUAGUCAUAUGGGCAUAAAGUGGCCAUUUCGUGCUCAGGUGUGUGUAACUGAGUUUCCAUUACAGAUUCAUUCACUUUAUUUUUCUAAUUUAUUUCUAAGGAGGUAAAGUAUCUAGUAUGUAUGUGCUCCCUAUUCAUUUUACUGCCGAACUGAAGUUCUUGGUAGCAUGGGACUAUACACUGAAUUUCCAAUAAUUU
rnacentral:ncRNA from 1 species